GACGAACGCUGGCGGCGUGCUUAACACAUGCAAGUCGAACGGAAAGGCCCUGCUUUUGUGGGGUGCUCGAGUGGCGAACGGGUGAGUAACACGUGAGUAACCUGCCCUUGACUUUGGGAUAACUUCAGGAAACUGGGGCUAAUACCGUAUAGGAGCUCCUGCUGCAUGGUGGGGGUUGGAAAGUUUCGGCGGUAGGGGAUGGACUCGCGGCUUAUCAGCUUGUUGGUGGGGUAGUGGCUUACCAAGGGUUUGACGGGUAGCCGGCCUGAGAGGGUGACCGGCCACAUUGGGACUGAGAGACGGCCCAGACUCCUACGGGAGGCAGCAGUGGGGAAUAUUGCACAAUGGGCGGAAGCCUGAUGCAGCAACGCCGCGUGCGGGAUGACGGCCUUCGGGUUGUAAACCGCUUUCGCCUGUGACGAAGCGUGAGUGACGGUAAUGGGUAAAGAAGCACCGGCUAACUACGUG
rnacentral:rRNA from 1 species